UAUAAUGGGUCAGCGACUUAUAUUCUGUAGCAAGGUUAACCGAAUAGGGGAGCCGGAGGGAAACCGAGUCUUAAUUGGGCGUUAAGUUGCAGGGUAUAGACCCGAAACCCGGUGAUCUAGCCAUGGGCAGGUUGAAGGUUGGGUAACACUAACUGGAGGACCGAACCGACUAAUGUUGAAAAAUUAGCGGAUGACCUGUGGCUGGGGGUGAAAGGCCAAUCAAACCGGGAGAUAGCUGGUUCUCCCCGAAAGCUAUUUAGGUAGCGCCUCG
rnacentral:rRNA from 1 species